rnacentral:rRNA from 1 species
UGAAUUUUCCGCAAUGGGCGAAAGCCUGACGGAGCAAUGCCGCGUGAAGGAUGAAGGCCUAUGGGUUGUAAACUUCUUUUCUCAGAGAAGAAAUUUUGACGGUAUCUGAGGAAUAAGCAUCGGCUAACUCUGUGCCAGCAGCCGCGGUAAGACAGAGGAUGCAAGCGUUAUCCGGAAUGAUUGGGCGUAAAGCGUCUGUAGGUGGCUGAAAAAGUCUCCUGUCAAAGAUCAGGGCUUAACCCUGGGCCGGCAGGAGAAACUCUUAGGCUUGAGUUUGGUAGGGGCAGAGGGAAUUCCCGGUGGAGCGGUGAAAUGCGUAGAGAUCGGGAGGAACACCAAAGGCGAAAGCACUCUGCUGGGCCAUAACUGACACUGAGAGACGAAAGCGAAGGGAAGGACAACG